rnacentral:lncRNA from 1 species
UAAAUCCAACGGUCUUAUACAUUGUGGACCUUUUUCCUUCUUAUAGAUUGUGGGCCUUUUUCCUCUCUCUGUAAACACAAUCUCCUCUCCAACCCUAAAACGGCCGCUCAUCUCCCUUCUUUCGUCUGCGAGCCGUGCUUUUGAACAGAGAAAAGAUGUCAAUUUCAUUCGUCCAGUUACACGACCUUCCUUUUGAACCUGAAUGGUUUGUUUUGUUCGACCAACCGUUUCACCACCUCGUCUCCGCUGUGUUGAGCUGUUUGUGAUAAGAACCACCGUGCCGGCGUUCAUAUGGCUACCAUGAGCUUCAUUUCAUCUUCUUCAAGGUGAGGUGGAACAAAAACUCAUUUCGUUCUUGUUUAUUGAAGAAAUAGACUGAGAACUUUUUCUCCAUUCAGUCCUAUACGGCGGUUUCAGUUUUUUCUGAUAUUAGAAAUGAAAUGCAGGGUAAAAAAUUUAGGAUCCUGGAGACGAGAAACUAUAAAUUAAUAAGGACUUUGUGAAAGUGUAUCUGUGCUUGCUUCUUAGUAAUAAUAUUGAUUUGCUUAUGCUUGGAGUGAAGUUCCUGGAAGAGUUAGAACUGCCGUUAGGUUGUGCCUGAGGAAUGCCGAGUAAUCAGUGUGUUGAAUUGCAGCCGGAGGUAUGUGAUUUAUUGCUUGUUGUAGAUAUAUUUUCUUUGUUGGACAGUUGAUUAUACUUGUUUCUCUACUGUCAUGUGUGUUAUGGUAGCGAGGCAUUUAUAUUAUAUUAUUAUAUUUUUUUUAAAAAAAUACUAUAUUAUUACAUUUAAAAUCUCAAACUAUUGUAUCGUAGAUUGGUGUAGUAAUUGAGCAAAAUAUUACUAAUGUUUUUAUCUUCCGGGUGACUUUAGAGUUUGGGAAUCUAAAUUGGCAUAAUAUUAUUUAUUUAUUAAAAGGUUAUAAUUUUCUAUUUAGAGUGUAUAUCACUUUUUUAAAAGAAAAUUUGACCAUAAUUAGGGGUGUUCGCGGUGCGGUUUGGAUGGUUUCUGCGAUAAAAAAUCAUCCAAACCUCAAGAGAAAAAAGGAUGCGGUUCGAUUUGGUUCGAUUGACUUUUAAAAAUAAAACCAAACCAAAUCAAUGCGGUUUGGGUUGGUUCGGUUGGUUCGAUUUUUUAUAAUAUUUUUAUUGAGCCAUAUAUACUCCUAUAAAUAAGACAUAACUUUGUGUUUAGUCAUUCUUACGUUACUAAAUAACAUCAAAAUUCAUCAUAUUUAGACAAAAAUAAAAACUUAUCAUUCAAUAUACAAAAAAUCAGAUUAGACAAAAGUGGAAUAAAAGACAAAUAUAAAUAGUAGCAUAAAAUAAUAUUAAAGACAUUGUAAUAAAACAUAAAAAAAACAUAUGAGAUGAGAGAUUAGAUAAGAUGAAAAAAAGAAUAUAAGAGAUGCGAGAUUGAGAAGAAAAGUGCAAUAAAAACGUAAUUGGAAGAAAAAAUAGUAACAUAAAAGAUAAAAAAGAAAGAACAUAAUAGAUGACUUAUUAGAGUAGAAUAAGCGAGACCUACAUGGAAAAUAAGAUGAGAAGAAUGUGUGAUACUAUUAUGAGAGAUUUAAGAAGGUUGAAAUUGAAACCCUAAGUGUGAUUAAGAGAAAAUCGUUUGUAAUUGUAAGGUUAAGGCAUACUAGGUUUGAGGUUUGGGUUGGAUGUGGGAUAAGUGAACUUUGGGUUGUAACAUAAUGCGGUUUGGUUUGGUUUAGUUCGGUUUGCAAAAUACAAACCGCAAACCAAACCAAACCGUGCGGUUUUAUUAAAAAAUGACCCAAAUGAAUCCGAACCAAAUACGAUUUUUUGCGGUUUCGAUUUGGUUUGGUUUGGAUUGCGAUUUUCUAUUGGGUUGGUUUGAUUUUGAACACACCUAACCAUUAUUAAUUACUUUGGAUUCAAACACUAGUGUAAUGUUGCCCAGAUUUGGCUUUUAAUUGGUUUCAUGAAAAAGGCCGUCAAAGAAUUAUGAUUUGCCUUAUGUUCUAUUAUUAUGUUUUGAUAAGGGCUAGAAUCUAAAACAUAAUCUAAAACUAUGAAUUUAAGAUGUGUAAUGUUAUUGUAAUGAUAAAUGGAGUUUAGAUGGAGAUGUUUGGGUAAGUGUUAAAUAUCAAUAUUGGUGAUGAGUCAUUUUAAAAAAGUAAUAUGUGUUGAUAUAAAGGAAAUUGGAUUAGACUUUAAACAACUCUAUGGAAAUUGUUAUUAGAUAAACAAGGAGGAUGAUAGUUGUGCCUUUUUUUCUUUUAUAGGAAAUGCAUUGUCACUUGUCGUAAUACUUUUACAAUGUAAAUAAAUUCUUUUUCUUAUCUACAUGUUAUUACAUCUUUGACGUGUUAUCUGAUUAACAUUUAUUGAAUCGAUAGGGACUCUGGAUUAAGGUGUGAGAAACAUAAUCGUUUAAUCUUGUGGAUCUUUGGAGUAAAGACUCUUGCGUAGAAGUUCUACUCGCAACUGUAAGUGCCCUUUCUAACAAUAUUAUACAUGAUUAAAUCCAUGUGUGUUUGUAUGCAUGAUUGUAUGAUUGUGCAAGUAUAAUUAUUUAAUUAGUUUAAUGUUAUAAUUUAAAGAAUAUUUUAUUUAUCUAUCAUAAUUUUAAUGCAUAUAUAUAUUUUACAGGAUUAAUGUACUUUUGGUCCUCCUAAUUUAGUUAUCUAUCAUAGUUUUUAUGCAUAUAUAUAUAUAUAUAUAUAUAUAUAUAUAUAUAUAUAUAUAUAUAUAUAUAUAUUUUUUUUUUUUUUUAUAGGCUUAAAUGUACCUUUGUGACUUGGAUGUCAUCUGAGCAUCUACAAACGAAGUGGUUUUUAUUUUAUUGUCAAAGGGUGCUAGGUGUGCAUAUAUCCCUUUUAGAGGUAAAUCACGGAGUGAAUUAAAGGUUAUUACACUAUGUGUUAAUGGAAACCACUGUGUGAAGAUAUUUAAUUGUUUAGAUUUUCUUUGGUUGUCUGAAAUAAUUUGUGGUUUCUUUAUCUAAAAAUGAAUAUUAUUUAUUGAUUCGGUACUUUUGCACUUUCUUUUAAAGGCGAUAUAUCCCAUACCUUCUGUAGAUCUCCAAUGGAGUUAUGAUCAUUUUAUUGAACAUAGAAAGAAGACUUCAAAUAGUAUAGUAGUUUGAGAAGCUGAAGAAUACCAUUUUUAAGAAAAAAAAAAUACCAUUUUUAAGAAAAAAAGAAUACCAUUUUUAAGAAAAAAAGAAUCACUAGCUAGAUAAUAAACCUGGAAUCAAAACCACUCAAAUGGGAUAACAUAAUGGAUAUCAAAAUCACUCAAAUCAAAACCACUCAAAUGGGAUAACAUAAUGGACAAUGAGCAGAAUAAAAAACUCAGGCCCAGGUUGCCUCAUGUUUGUUAAAAAACUAAAUUAUUUUGAGGUAUGAAAAUAACACUUUACUCUUUAUAUAGACAAAACUUAAUGUAAAUUCAACUUUUGAUAAUUAAUUGGUUCUCUUGGUUCUCUUUAAAAGAUUCCUUAAAUAUACAAUUUGACCAUCCAAUAGUUUGAAUUGGAAAAUGAUACAAUUUUACCAUUGGACAGGAUUAAUUUCCAAUAGUUUGAAUUGGAAAAUGAGUUUUAUACUUUUGGGUAUGAUAUAAACUUAAGUUCAACAAAUUAUAUUCUUUAAAUUCUUUGCACUCAUUUAUGAAUGUCAAAAAUAAACUAUUUUAUAUUCAAUUAGUUUUUAACUAUAUUUACCAAAACAUUUCAUUUAAAAUCAUGUUUCUGAAAUAAAUUUAAAAAUAUAACAUAAAUAUAAAAUCUUUAUUAUAAAAUGUCUUAAUAAAACUUAUUAGCACUUUAUCCACAAAAUCUUUAUUAUAAAAUGUCUUAAUAAAAUUUGGGCAACCUAGGCCAGAGUUUUUUAUUCUUAUUCUGCUCAUCGUACAUUACGUUAUUUUGAUUCCUGGUUUAUUAUUUACAUAGUGAUUUUUUUUUUUAAAAAUGGUAUUCUUUAGCUUCCUUCUCAAACUACUAUACUAUUCUUUAGCUUCCUUCUCAAACUUCUAGUUUGCUUCCUUCUCAAACUUCUAGUUUAUUAUCCACAUAGUGAUUCUUUUUUUUUUAAAAAUGGUAUUCUUUAGCUUCCUUCUCAAACUACUAUACUAUUCUUUAGCUUCCUUCUCAAACUUCUAUACUAUUUGGAGUCUUCUUUCUAUGUUCAAAUAUUUUCAAGCCUAUAAAAUGAUCAUGACCCCAUUGGGGAUCUACGGAAGUGCAAAAGUACCGAUUAAAUAAAUAGACCACAAAUGUAUUCAUUUUUAGAUAAAUAGACCACAAAUUAUCUCAGACAACUAAAGAAAAUCUAAAUAACUAAAUAUCUUCGCAAAAUGGUUUUCAUUUACAUAUAUCGUAAUAACCUUUAAUUUGUGAUUUACCUCUAAAAGGGAUAUAUGCACACCUAACUCAGGUCCUAGAUUGUUUAAACUUAGAUCCAUAAAACUCUAAAAGGGAUAUAUGCACACCUAACUCAGGUCCUAGAUUGUUUAAACUUAGAUCCAUAAAAACUCAGAUCCAUCGGGUCCUAGAUUGUUUAAACUUAGAUCCAUAAAAACUCAUAUUUUAAGGUAAAUUGUUUCAUUGAAAAUCUUUAGUAUUAUUUUUUAUUUUGAUCAUCCAUUUUAUCAUGGCGACACCUCUGGUUAAUCCUCUUGCGGUUUCAUAGAUAGAGCAACAAUUUACUCUUGACUCUGACUCUAUUAAUAAUUUAGGCAGGACGACAUAUGUGGUUACAGUCGUGAAACAUCAAUUUACUAUUUAUGUGGUUCCAGUCACAUAUCAUCAAUUUAUUUUUGACUUUGUUAAUAUGAUUAUUUCUUUUAAUGCUUUUUAUCAUUUACCCAAUCCAAUUCUUUCUUGAUUUUAAAUAAUAUUGCAAUUAUGUUUUCUUCUCUUUCUUUCAACAUUUUCUUUAUUUUUUUUAUGUUCUUUAAGUAAAUUAAUUUUAGAUUUUCUUAAUAAUGAAGGCGUGUCAGUCUUGAAUGGAGUACUAGAGUUUAUAAACAAUAUCAUUCAUUAAAUUUUUUUUUAAGAUUUUGAAGGAUGAUAAGAUAAAAAUUCUUGAUCAGAUUAAAAAUGAUAAUAAUGUCCAUCUCAUUUGCUUUGUGUGUGGCAAUAACUAUUGAAAUGAACAUUAUUAUCAUUUUUAAUUUGAUUGAAAUUUUUUAUCUCUUCAUCCUUUGAAAUUCUUUUUUCAAACCAUUUAUAAAAUUUAUCUUUUUCUAAAAAUACAUAAUAAACAAAAGUGAUUAAUGAUAAUCUUUAAAUAUAUAUAAUAUUUGUAUUAUAUAAUUAUAUAAAUGUCUCAUUCAUAUCGUUGUUUUGACAUAACAAAACCGUAAAGGUAUCUAUUUUUUUGAAUGAAUCAUAUUGUUAAUAAGCUCUAGUACAACAUUCAAAUCUGACACGAUAUGAAGGGUAAAUGAUAAGAUGUAAAAGAAAUGAUCAUAUCACUAUAUUCAUGCAUCACUAUAUUCAUGCAUAAAUUGAUAGUGCAUGUUACUUCAUGACUGAAACCUAAGUAGGAGUAAAUUGGUGCUUCAUGAUUGAAACCUAGGUCUUAGUUUUUUUUCUUUGCUCUUUGUUCAAUAUGUUAUCCCAUUUGAAUGAUUUUGAUUUGUUAUUUCUAUAACAGUCCAUCGGUUCGGAUUCGGUUAACAUCGUUCUAAUGAUUUUUUAAAAAUGGUUUUCAUUGUCUUCUUUAGCUUCCUUUUCGAAUAUUUUCAAACCUUUAAAAUAUUCAUGGCAAAUUUUGUCAUGUGUUAACCUAUGUUUCCAUUGGGGAUCUACGCCAGACAUGAGAAAUAACACGUGAGUAACAGCGAUUUCGAUCUUUGAAUAUGUUGGUGGUGACACUAUAGUCCCUUGAAUUUAGUUGUAAUUGCAAAAACAUUUCUCAAAUGUGUCUUUUGCAAAUCAAUUUGGUCUCCCACUCAUCUGUUUGGUCCUCAAGGAUGCAUUUGAAAUUUCAAUACAUUUAGAGACCAUAAAAAAUCAACCUAACAUAUUUAGGGAUCAAAAUGAGUGUCCAGUCGAAAAAUGUUUUGUUAAUAACAGAUGUAAAAGAUUGGUAUCAUUGGUCCUCAAGGAUGCUUUUGAAAUUUCAAUACAUUUAGAGACCAUUAAAAAUCAACCUAACAUAUUUAGAGAUCAAAAUGAGUGUCCAGUCGAAAAAUGUUUUGUUAAUAACAGAUGUAAAAGAUUGGUAUCAUUGGUUAUCACAGUUGAAGCCGCAUCACAAUUCUUGAUACUGCGGAUAAUCACAUUCAUAUGCGACUGAUAAAACCUAAAUUGAGGCAUUGGCUGCAUCAGUACUAUGUUUUCUAUUGGCCCUUAUUGUUGCAUCUGGAAACUUAAGGAACAUAACAAGUUAACAACAGUUGGUGUUUCAUUGUUCCUUGUUCUAUCAAUCCCUUCAUAUAUUCAACAAUACUAGCCUCAAUCUAGUUUGAUAUUGCCAUCUUAUCUGGUUCCUUAUGCAGCUGCUUCUAGUGGACCAUUUCAUUCAGGCAUUAAUCAGGCAACUUAUCUAUGAUGACAUCCCUUGGAUCCAAUAAUUUGUUUUUAAAAAGAAUGAAACUAAACUAACUUGUCCUAUUUGUGUUUGCUUGAUUUUGCAAUCAAUGCCCUCUUGUCUUUAAACAGGUGGUUACAAUGUUGGUGGCAUUCGUACUGGAAAACACGGUACCAAAAAAUUCUCAAGAACAAACAGAGUAUAUAUGGAUGCUGCCUCAAGACAUUGAUAGUGUUCCCUUGCUGGCAUCUGCAUAUUCGCUGCCAAGGAAAGUUCUAGAUGUUUCUGUUAUGCAAAACAGAGUAUGAUUACAAAGUUUUUUUGUCUGAGUUCCUCUAUUCCGCUUGUGAGCCAACAUAGCUGGGAUGUAGUGACGUUUUUGUAUGCCAAUAUUUGAAGCUACUUAUACUCAUACUUCUAUGCCACCAUGAUGCCUGCACCGUAGAAUCAAUAACUAAGAAUGGUUACCGGUGUAGUUAUUCUUCUGCACAAAUUUGACAUUUCCUGCAUAAAAGAAUCUCAGGAACAAUGCAAACAAUAACCAACAAUUUCAAGUUUCAUACAUCAUAAAAUUGUAUCAUACAACAGUUGUAAAACUGAAUCUCAAAAUCUCAUAAUCCGUUGAAAUGUGUUUAAUCUAAAACAAUAGUUAGAUAUCCUUUGUAUUAUAUAACCAUCCUACCACACUUAUAUGUGGAUUACUAACAGAAUUGCCUACAUUUAGUUAAUCAAAUAGACUAAUCUAACAAAGCAUGGGCAACAAACUUAUUCUUAGUAAAAUAGAAAUGUCAUUUCAUAUGAAUAGAACUUAUCUGUCAAGAAUUAUUAAG